rnacentral:lncRNA from 1 species
CCUCGAACUUCUGAGCGAUUCAGUGAUGAAUAGUAGCAAGUGGCUUUCUUCUUAUCAUGUUUACCGUAGUAUAAAGGUACAUCAGUUGCAUAGAUAUCUUGAGGGUAGUAUGAAUGUCCACUAAUUUCCACCCCAUUCGGCAGGGUCAGCUUGGCAAUAAAACUGCGAUCAAGGGUGCCAGCUCCGACUGUUGUGAUCCAUGGUGCUCCACUGUAAGUUGCAUUGUAACCACCAUCAUUUCCUGCUGCAGCCACCACGAAUAUCCCUUUCCGGAUUGCUGAAAAGGAAGCUAUGGCUAUUACAUCUUCAUAGUAAGGUACAUGUUCGAAGCCAAUGGAUAUUGACAUUAUGUCUACACCAUCUGCAAUUGCUUGGUCCAUGCCAGCUAGCACAUCGCUGGCAGCGGAUUGUUGCGUAUCUAAAGCAAAGAGGACUUUGUACAUGGCAAUGUGGGCUCGUGGAGCUACCCCUCUUGCCGUGCCUUUUGCAUAUCCGAAAUGACUCACUCCUAGUACGAAAUUUCCUGCUGCUGUGGAGGCUGUGUGUGUCCCAUGGCCAGAAAGGUCUCGUGUUGAGUUGUAGUCGGGAGAAAUUGUUUUACCUGCAGCUAUGAUUCCUCUGCUGAAAGACUGAGCUCCAAUUAGCUUCUUGUUGCAGGAAGAACCCCUGAAUGUUUGGUGCUCUUCGCACUUCCCC